GAUUCCCCUAGUAACGGCGAGUGAAGAGGGAAGAGCUCAAAUUUUGAAUCUGGCGUCUCUGGCGUCCGAAUUGUAAUCUAGAGAAGUGUUUUCCGUGACGGACCGUGCACAAGUCUCCUGGAAUGGAGCGUCAUAGAGGGUGAGAAUCCCGUAUAUGGCAUGGACUCCCGUUGCUCUGUGAUACACUCUCGACGAGUCGAGUUGUUUGGGAAUGCAGCUCCAAAUGGGUGGUAAAUGCCAUCUAAAGCUAAAUAUUGGCGAGAGACCGAUAGCGAACAAGUACCGUGAGGGAAAGAUGAAAAGCACUUUGGAAAGAGAGUGAAACAGUACGUGAAAUUGUUGAAAGGGAAACGCUUGAAGUCAGUCGCGCCGUUCGGGAUUCAGCCUUGCUUCUGCUCGGUUUACUUCCCGUUGGGUGGGUCAACAUCAGUUUCGAUCGGAGGAGAAAGGCUCGGGGAAGGUAGCAGCAUYCGUGCUGUGUUAUAGCCCCUUGUUGUAUACUUCGAUUGGGACUGAGGACCGCAGCACGCCUCUGGCCGGGGUUCGCCCACGUACGUGCUUAGGAUGUUGGCAUAAUGGCUUUAAGCGACCCGUCUUGAAACACGGACCAAGGAGUCUAACAUGUGCGCGAGUGUUUGGGUGUUAAACUCGGACGCGAAAUGAAAGUGAAAAGUUGGGAACACUUCUGUGUGCACCGACGCCCGGAGCUGACCUUCUGUGACGCAUCUGCGGUAGAGCGUAUAUGUUGGGACCCGAAAGAUGGUGAACUAUGCCUGAAUAGGGUGAAGCCAGAGGAAACUCUGGUGGAGGCUCGUAGCGAUUCUGACGUGCAAAUCGAUCGUCAAAUUUGGGUAUAGGGGCGAAAGACUAAUCGAAC
rnacentral:rRNA from 1 species